CAUAAUGUAGCUUAAUCAAAGCAUCUCGCUUACACCGAGAAAAUGUCCGUGAAAACCAGACCGUUAUGA
rnacentral:tRNA from 1 species